CAGCAGCCGCGGGAAAACGUAGGUGGCAAGCGUUGUCCGGAAUUAUUGGGCGUAAAGGGCUCGCAGGCGGUUUCUUAGGUCUGAUGUGAAAGCCCCCGGCUCAACCGGGGAGGGUCAUUGGAAACUGGGAAACUUGAGUGCAGAGGAGGAGAGUGGAAUUCCACGUGUAGCGGUGAAAUGCGUAGAGAUGUGGAGGAACACCAGUGGCGAAGGCGACUCUCUGGUCUGUAACUGACGCUGAGGAGCGAAAGCGUGGGGAGCGAACAGGAUUAGAUACCCCAGUAGUCCCUGUCUCUUAUAC
rnacentral:rRNA from 1 species